rnacentral:misc_RNA from 1 species
UCUCCGUAGGUGAACCUGCGGAGGGAUCAUUACAGAGUUCUCGCCCUCGCGGGUAGACCUCCCACCCACUGUUCUCGUUACUGUCGUUUCUUUGGCGGGCAGCCGGGUCCCCGGCCCCCGGCGUCGAAUAGCCGGGGCGCGCCGGGCAGAGGACUUCGAACGCUGAAUAUUAGUGUCGUCUGAGUACUAUUGAAUAGUUAACACUUUCAACAACGGAUCUCUUGGUUCUG